rnacentral:misc_RNA from 1 species
GGAAGGAUCAUUAACACGUAUCCACGUUUAUCAACCACGUUGAACCGUACGCUGCACUUGUAUUUUUGCUGAGAACGAUAGACUAGGUGAUAAGCAAAAGUCCCUUUGGGAAUUUUGUCGUCUCCGUUUUACCGAGUGUGCGACUUCUACCUUUGAGUGGGAGGCCAUUCAGGCUGCAGUGCAGUGAUUAUCACACAUUUGUUUUCUAACCCUAUGAACUCAUGUGCUAAUACCGAAACCUUAGAGAGGGCUUGCCCCUUCUUCUAAGUAUUGUACGAAAUGAUUGAACAACUCUUAGCAACGGAUAUCUUGGUUUCCGCACCGAUGAAGAACGCAGCGAAAUGCGAUACGUAAUGCGAAUUGCAGAAUUCAGUGAAUCAUCAAGUUUUUGAACGCAACUGGCGCUCUCGGGAUAUUCCUGAGAGCACGUUUCUCUGAGUAUCGGUUCUACCUCAUAUCGACUGCGUUCCCAAUUUGGGUAUUGUCAGUUCGGUGAUUGGAUGUCAUGAAGACCGAAACUCUUCAUGUCAUUUGAAGACGUUGUAUGCGGGUGACACAACUAAGUCUUGGUCAUUGCUACUCCGGAGUAACUGCGCGUUACAGUGGUCCGCCUGACAACUGGCGACUUGGGAUAGAUUCACCUCGUGUGAAUACAACUUGUCUCUUGUCAUUAUGUCUAGUGCCAGGUUGGAGUUUCACUAUGCUGUUCGCGUGGUAAAACCAAACUUAGUGUCCCUUUUAACAGGGGGGUGUUUUCACUUGGGCUUUCUCACUAACAAAAGGGAGGAGUCAAAAUCCUCUUUGGCGUUAUGGUUAACUAUUUUAUGGAAUUAGAUCUCAGAUGAAGCGAGAGGACCCGCUAAAUUUAAGCAUAUUAUUAAGCGGAGGAAAAGAAACUAACAAGGAUUCCCCUAGUAACGGCGAGUGAAGCGGGAGAAGCUCAAAUUGAAAAUCGGGAACCCUAAUAGGUUUCCGAAUUGUAGUCUAGAGAUGCGACGCUAGCGAUCGACCGAGGUAUAAAUUUUUUUGGAACAAGGUGUCAUAGAAGGUGAGAACCCUGUCUGUGACCUCGAGUUCGUCGCGUACAGCGCGUAUUCAAUGAGUCGAAUAGCUUGGGAUUGCUGUUCUAAAUUGGUGGUAAAUUUCAUCAAAAGCUAAAUAUUGGCGGAAGACCGAUAGCGAACAAGUACCGUGAGGGAAAGAUGAAAAGAACUUUGAAAAGAGAGUUAAAAAGUACUUGAAAUUGCUAAGAGGGAAGCACUGGAAACCAGUAGCUGCCGAGUUUCUAUAUUUACUAUCCAGCAGCGAAGUGUCCAAGCAAGUUUGAGAGGUAAAACUCCGCCUUGUUCGGAUGCGAACGUUUGAUGGGUGGGUCCUGUAGAGCUUGGCGAGUCAGAAUCAAGUAGAUUCGCGGGAGAAAAUCGGUGGUAAGGUCACCCCUAGCUCUCGGGCGAAGGGUAGAGACCGCCGACGAUACCAUGGGUUUGCUUGAGGUGUUGAGAACAGGCGCCGUUCGCGGCUCUGUCCGCCAGUCUCUGGUGCGUGGUUCGUCUUGGACAACAAAGUUGUGCGGAUGGAGAAGCGCGCUAUUCGGAUUGGAUUGGAUAAGAUGUCUGUUAGCGAUUCUGACGAAAUGGUUUUCAUUGACCCGUCUUGAAACACGGACCAAGGAGUCUAACAUAUAUGCGAGUAUUUGGGUGGUAAACCCUGAUGCGUAAUGAAAGUAAAAUGGCGGCUCUCGGGUCGCCCGAGGUAGGAAUUCGGGUCAAUUUAGCCUGAAGGCACUAUCGACCGAUCGUUCACUUGUGAAAGAUUUGAGUAAGAGCAUAUCUGUUGGGACCCGAAAGAUGGUGAUCUAUGCCUGAACAGGGUGAAGCCAGGGGAAACUCUGGUGGAGGCUCGUAGCGAUACUGACGUGCAAAUCGUUCGUCUGAUUUGGGUAUAGGGGCGAAAGACUAAUCGAACCAUCUAGUUGCUGGUUCCCGC